rnacentral:rRNA from 1 species
UACAGAGGCCCCAAGCGUUACUGAGAAUCACUGGGUUUAAAGGGUGCGUAGGUGGCGCGUUAAGUCCGUUGUGAAAUCCCUUGGCUCAACCAAGGAAAUGCUUCGGAUACUGGCGUGCUUGAGGCCGGUAAGGGUCACUGGAACUGACGGUGGAGCGGUGAAAUGCGUAGAUAUCGUCAGGAACGCCAAUGGUGAAGACAGGUGACUGGGCCGGUACUGACACUGAGGCACGAAAGCGUGGGGAGCAAACAGG